AGAACGAACGCUGGCGGCAUGCCUAACACAUGCAAGUCGAACGCUCUUGGGGCUUCGGUUCCAAGGGAGUGGCGCACGGGUGAGUAGCGCGUGGGAACCUGCCCUGGAGUGGGGGAUAACCGAGGGAAACUUCGGCUAAUACCGCAUACGCCGGGAAACCGGGAAAGAUUUAUCGCUCUAGGAGGGGCCCGCGUCGGACUAGGUAGUUGGUGGGGUAACGGCUUACCAAGCCUGUGAUCCGUAGCUGGUCUGAGAGGAUGAUCAGCCACACUGGGACUGAGACACGGCCCAGACUCCUACGGGAGGCAGCAGUGGGGAAUAUUGGACAAUGGGCGCAAGCCUGAUCCAGCAAUGCCGCGUGAGUGAUGAAGGCCUUCGGGUUGUAAAGCUCUUUCGCACGCGAGGAUGAUGACGCUAGCGUGAGAAGAAGCCCGGCUAACUUCGUGCCAGCAGCCGC
rnacentral:rRNA from 1 species